AUUGAACGCUGGCGGCAUGCUUUACACAUGCAAGUCGAACGGCAGCGCGGGCUUCGGCCUGGCGGCGAGUGGCUAACGGGUGAGUAAUGCAUCGGAACGUGCCCAGUAGUGGGGGAUAGCCCGGCGAAAGCCGGAUUAAUACCGCAUACGACCUGAGGGUGAAAGCGGGGGACCGAAAGGCCUCGCGCUAUUGGAGCGGCCGAUGUCGGAUUAGCUAGUUGGUGGGGUAAAGGCUUACCAAGGCGACGAUCCGUAGCUGGUCUGAGAGGACGACCAGCCACACUGGGACUGAGACACGGACCAGAAUCCUAAGGGAGGCAGCAGUGGGGAAUUUUGGAAAAAGGGGGCAAACCUGAUCCAGCCAUGCCGCGGGGGGGAAGAAGGCCUUCGGGUUGUAAAACGCUUUUGUUCGGGAAGAAAUCCUCUGGGCUAAUACCCCGGGGGGAUGACGGUACAGGAAGAAUAAGCACAGGCUAACUACGU
rnacentral:rRNA from 1 species